AGAGUUUGAUCAUGGCUCAGAAUGAACGCUGGCGGCGUGCUUAACACAUGCAAGUCGCACGAGAACGCUUCAGCUUGCUGAAGCUAGUAAAGUGGCGCACGGGUGAGUAACGCGUGGGUAAUCUAUCUCUGAAUUGGGGAUAACAUUGCGAAAGCGAUGCUAAUACCGGAUGAUAUCCAUUAAACCUCGGUUUUUUGGAUCAAAGGUGGCCUCUACAUGUAAGCUACUGUUUGGAGACGAGCCCGCGUACCAUUAGCUUGUUGGUAGGGUAACGGCUUACCAAGGCAACGAUGGUUAGCUGGUCUGAGAGGAUGAUCAGCCACACUGGAACUGACACACGGUCCAGACUCCUACGGGAGGCAGCAGUGAGGAAUUUUGCGCAAUGGGGGAAACCCUGACGCAGCAACGCCGCGUGAGUGAUGAAGGCUUUCGGGUCGUAAAGCUCUGUCAAGUGGGAAGAACCCGCGCCGCACAAAUAGUGCGGGGCGCUGACGGUACCACUGAAGGAAGCACCGGCUAACUCCGUGCCAGCAGCCGCGGUAAUACGGGGGGUGCAAGCGUUAUUCGGAAUCAUUGGGCGUAAAGAGCGCGUAGGCGGUCUUCUAUGUCAGGUGUGAAAGCCCGGGGCUCAACCCCGGAAGUGCACUUGAAACUGGGAGACUUGAGUAUGGGAGAGGGAAGUGGAAUUCCUGGUGUAGCGGUGAAAUGCGUAGAUAUCAGGAGGAACACCGGUGGCGAAGGCGACUUCCUGGACCAAUACUGAGCUGAGGCGCGAAGGCGUGGGGAGCAAACAGGAUUAGAUACCCUAGUAGUCC
rnacentral:rRNA from 1 species